rnacentral:rRNA from 1 species
UACGAAGGGGGCUAGCGUUGUUCGGAAUUACUGGGCGUAAAGCGCGCGCAGGCGGUCUUCCAAGUCAGUGGUGAAAGCCUGGAGCUCAACUCCAGAACUGCCAUUGAAACUGUUAGACUUGAGUACGAGAGAGGUGAGUGGAACUCCCAGUGUAGAGGUGAAAUUCGUAGAUAUUGGGAAGAACACCGGUGGCGAAGGCGGCUCACUGGCUCGUAACUGACGCUGAGGAGCGAAAGCAUGGGGAGCGAACAGG